CGCCUACGGGGGGCAGCAGUGAGGAAUAUUGGUCAAUGGGCGCGAGCCUGAACCAGCCAAGUAGCGUGAAGGAUGACUGCCCUACGGGUUGUAAACUUCUUUUAUAAAGGAAUAAAGUGAGGCACGUGUGCCUUUUUGUAUGUACUUUAUGAAUAAGGAUCGGCUAACUCCGUGCCAGCAGCCGCGGUAAUACGUAGGGGGCGAGCGUUGUCCGGAAUCACUGGGCGUAAAGGGCGCGUAGGCGGUUUAAUAAGUCAGUGGUGAAAACUGAGGGCUCAACCCUCAGCCUGCCACUGAUACUGUUA
rnacentral:rRNA from 1 species